rnacentral:ribozyme from 11 species
UGUUGUUUCUCUCUUUUUCUCUUUUUCUCUGCCUGACUUGUUGUUUCUCUCUUAUUCUGUGUUUCGUUCGAUUUGCAUGAAGAAGAAGAAAAGAGAAGAGCGACCCGCAGUGAGAGCAAGAAAACGAAAAAAAAGAC